ensembl:lncRNA
GUGCAGUUUAAUUCACUUGACUAAUUUGCUUAAUUUUGAAAUGAUGAUGUUUCAUUCUGUUUUGACUUGCCAUUUCAAAGACUACAUAUUAACAAUACUACACUUCAUUAAAAAUGUAUGUGAUCAUUUAACCAUUAUCAUGCAUGUUGUUUAUCAUGGGUCACAUAAUAUGCUGCCAGAUCAUAGCCUGAUUUGGGCCACAUAUCACCUGACUGAUCUGGGCCACACUCCUCCCACCAACAAUCGGCCCUCAUAUUGUUUGCCGGAUCCCCGCCCUCCCGUCAUUGCCACACAUGGCCCAGCUCUGGCUGAAAGGGUACAUGCCAUUGCCGACAGGAGGCCAGCAGUGCCAGCUUGAGGCCACAUUUGGGCCAAGUCCAUUUGCUAUGUGGGGGAUGGAAUGAGCGAAAAAAAAAAGAAACCUGCACAAGUACUUAUCUACACGCACCAGAUGACCUCAGAACAGAUGAUCCAGUGGCGUUGCAACAUCUGAUUGAAGGCCUAUUCUUGGGCAUCCAGCAGAAAAAGAGGAAUCUAUAUCGAGUAACCGACCGUAACAAACAGCGACACAAGAUCCGAAGAUGGAUUAGAGAGGAUAAGAAAAAGCUGUUUAAUGCCAUAUCCCAAUACAAUGAUCUUCCAACCACCACAGAAUCUGUAGAUUCAGUUGAAGACCUUCUGGCAACAGAAAGCCCUAUCUGGCCUUGGGAUUCUGAACCUGACACUUCCUUAGGCAUGAAGAAGAAGGUUUUUGACAAGGUGAUGUAGCUGGAGAGACUGAUUGAGGAAGAGGCUAUAAUUUUAGAGGAAAUGAAACAACAUUGGACUCAUCUUACAAGAACCUGCAGGGCCUUGAAGGACCAGGCUAAUGUACUAUCAGAUGACCUGGCCACACAGAACUACCCUUCAGGACUGUCUGGUCAAGCUUACCAUGGCCUGCACAGUGCUGUCCUCCAAAAAUGUGAGGAGCUCAAAACAGACCUGGUACCUGUGAAAGAAACCUACUCCCAAAUAGUGGUAAAUGGGAAUGGUGGAACUGUUGUUGAAGAAGAUGAAGACCCAUAUGAGCAUGUCUCCACAGAUGCCUCUACAGAUGAUGAAUUAUAGAUUCUCUCUUCUCCACUGCACAAACUGGUCUCCUGACUCUGAGUAGCUCAAGUUAGCUCUCCC